rnacentral:lncRNA from 1 species
AAAUAUUGACUUUUAACCCAAACUAGAAUACAUAUAGUUUGGCGUGGUGUCAAUUUUUCCAACAAAAUACGUCUUGAAGUCUAAUGUUAGAGCUCAACGAAAACCUUCGUUGUCAGUUUUGUUUUUUUUUUUGCAGAUCUCAUUUCCAGUUAAAGAAGCCAACUUCCACAGGCCCCCGAGGAUAAUUUGUCGGUUUUAUCGGCCAAUAACCACUGGAAAAGGAAACUAGGAAGCAAAUUAAGCGUCCUAGAUGUAUUUAUUUUCGAUUUUGAGCAUGUUUUGAUCAUGAAAAUCAAGAGG